CGGGAAAUCUUACCGGGUCCGGACGUAUCGAGGAUUGACAGAUAGUUAUACAUGCCCUACAAGCAAGUAGGAGUCAGGUUUUAAACCUAAUGGCUCUUUCAUGAUUAUAUGAUAGGUGGUGCAUGGCCGUUCUUAGUUCGUGGAGUGAUCUGUCUGCUUAAUUGCGUUUCAAAAUUUAACUUGAGGACCGGGUUUUGGUUUGGCUAGUGGUCCUACGAUGACUGUGAACUGUCAUGUCUUCGGAUGUACGACUAUCGGUCUAGGAUCACAUGACUUGCCCCUGGGACUCUUUUGAACGCAACGGACGUGAUUGCAACCCCUUGUUGAGAUUAGAGAUAGUCUCGAUAUUCACUGGCCAAACUGGCUGCUUUAUGCAGUCUUGUUGAAUGGUGGAUAAACUCGGGGGACUGCUGACUAUAACCAUUUCUCAAAACAGAGGAAGGUUGCGGCAAUAACAGGUCUGUGAUGCCCUCAGAUGUCCCGGGCUGCACACGUGCUACAAUGAGUGGCGCAAUGUGCUAAUGUUUUAAGGGAUAAGCGUGCGGCCAGUAGAACGUCGGGAAAUUCCCCUGGCGUCGCCUGCGCACGAUUAUCAGCCUUCCCUUAACAGGGCGGGCAACCUUUUCAAAAUACCGGUUUGAUAUUAAAGUAUAGAGUCGUUUUUUUUGGAUGGUGGUUUACGAACCAAUACCAUCCGCAACUGCUCGCGAGUUUGUGGUUCUGGUGACUCAUGGUGGGGACCGAUGUUUGUAAUUGUUUGUCGCGUGUCAACUAGGAAUGCCUUGUACUGUCGAUUC
rnacentral:rRNA from 1 species